rnacentral:rRNA from 1 species
UACGGGGGGAGCAAGCGUUGUUCGGAUUUACUGGGCGUAAAGGGCGCGUAGGCGGCGCCGCAAGUCGACUGUGAAAUCUCCGGGCUUAACCCGGAAAGGUCAGCCGAUACUGCGGGGCUAGAGUGCAGAAGGGGCAACUGGAAUUCUCGGUGUAGCGGUGAAAUGCGUAGAUAUCGGAAGGAACACCAGUGGCGAAAGCGGCUUCCUGGUCCAGCACCGACGUUCAGGCACGAAAGCGUGGGGAGCAAACAGG